rnacentral:rRNA from 1 species
CGUGUAGGCGGCCGAUUAAGCCAGGUGUAAAAUGUUACAGCUCAACUGUAAACCCGCAUCUGGAACUGGUCGGCUAGAGGACGAGAGAGGAAAGUGGAAUUCCUAGUGUAGCGGUGGAAUGCGUAGAUAUUAGGAGGAACACCAGUGGCGAAGGCGGCUUUCUGGCUCGUACCUGACGCUGAGGCGCGAAAGCGUGGGGAGCAAACAG